UGAGGAAUAUUGGUCAAUGGAGGAAACUCUGAACCAGCCAAGUCGCGUGAAGGAAGAAUGUCCUAAGGAUUGUAAACUUCUUUAGCGAGCGAGUAAGGACUUCCACGUGAUGGGAGUUUGAAAGUAGCUCGAGAAUAAGUAUCGGCUAACUCCGUGCCAGCAGCCGCGAUAAUACGGAGGAUACGAGCGUUAUCCGGAUUUAUUGGGUUUAAAGGGUGCGCAGGUGGUCCUGCAAGCCAGUGGUGAAAAGCUGAGGCUCAACCUCAGCCUUGCCGUUGAAACUGCAAGACUUGAGAGUACAUGAUGUGGGCGGAAUGCGUAGUGUAGCGGUGAAAUGCAUAGAUAUUACGCAGAACUCCGAUUGCGAAGGCAGCUCACAAAGGUAUGUCUGACACUGAGGCACGAAAGCGUGGGGAGCAAACAGG
rnacentral:rRNA from 1 species